rnacentral:tRNA from 1 species
UCAAAAAUAGUUUAUAAAAACAUUAACUUUGGGAGUUAAUAAAUAGAUUAAUUUCUAUUUUUGAA